CGUCUGCUACAGACAAAGAUAACAAGGACAACUGGGCAAGUCCUUUAUGAUCUCCUCCAGUUACCGAAAGACCAAAAUCACCUCUUUAUAGAGCAGAUAUAAAGAGUGACACACACCCUUCCUCUGGACAAAUGGAGCUCUACUGAGGAGGAAGUCAGGAAUACUGCCUGCUGCUAAAUCGAUUGUCUACUGGAAGAGUUGGACGAGGCUAAAUCAAGAUGCUCAUUAAAAUCUUAUCCUAAAAGAAUUGUAUUAAUAAGACAUGCUGAAUCUGAGGGUAAUAUUGAUAAAUCUUUCUAUGCAACUACACCUGAUGCUAAACUAAAGGUUACUGAUAAAGGAAUAGAACAAGCUAAAGUAAAGAAUGGAAUUUGUUACUGUUAUUAUUAUUAUUAUUAUUAUUAUUAUUAUUAUUAUUAUUAUUAUUGUAACAAGAAAUAUAACAGAAUAAGGUGGACAAGAAAAUAUAGCAAGAUAAGGCAGAACAUAAUAUUAAUAAAAUAAAAUGAAAUAAGUCAAUAGAGAGAUUUCAUAAGUUUAAUGUUUAGUGGUGAGGAUAGAUAGUAAUCCCCGCUCCAUCCUCCAGAUUAAUGGUGCGAAUCUUAGCUCUGGUGCCUCUCACACAUAGAUUA